CACCAACCCCCCAUCAGACCCAGCAAUCUACAAGUUCCAUGCCCUGCUCCAACACUCAUCUUCCUGUGACCCCAGUAACUUCCUGAAACAUGGAAUCCACCAGCUCUCAUUGGAUCAAGAGCUCUGAAAUGUGUCGACUGUUUAGAAAUACCAUUUAUCAAGAGUUGUCCGUCACAAAAAGAAACCUGUGAAGCAAAAUUGGGCCAGAAGUGUCUCCUAACUGCAUUAUUUGUAGGUAAAUUAAAAAUAUCAAUUCAGAAAUGUGUUGAUCACUGCGUCAAUGCUACUCUCGACAGCAGUAUAACCCAAUAUGCAUGCUGCAAUUCGCAUUCUUUGUGUAACAGGCUAUAAGGCUUGGUCUUUUCUUGGCCUGUUCUACUUAGAUGACCUGUCUAUUGAAGAAAAUAGGGUCCUGAAACCACCAACUGUCUUAGUUAUGGUUUUCAUUGCUCUGAUAAAAUACCAAGACCAUAAGAGACAUGAAGACGAAAGAGUUUGCUUCAUUUCCACUUCCACGUUGCAGUCCAUCAUGAAAGGAAGUCAUGACCAAGAGGCAGGAAUGAUGUACAUUCCAUGGAGUAACAUCACUUACUGGUUUCUUCCUCAUAGAUUGCUCAAUCUGCUUCAUUAUAGCACCCAGGACCACCAGCUCAUGGGGUACACCACCCAGUGGGACAAGCCCUUCCAUAUCAAUCACCCAUUAAGAAAAUGCCCUUCAGACUUGCCUACAGCCAGGUCUGAUGGACACAUUUUUCUCUACUGUGGUACUCUCCUUCCAGAUGACUAAUUUGUGCCAAACUGACACAAAACUAGC